UCCCUCUCUCAACAUCAAUUUCAUCAACUAUUAUUUCCUUUGGCCCAAAUCGAAAAACCUAAACCCUUAGCUCCCUCUUAUUUCCUUCCCCCGAUUCCCUCACCAUCUUCACAAAUUUUCCUCUCCCUCAGCCUCUCUCGGUCAGUCCAGUCGGUCUCUCCUCUGCACUAACCCCCCACCCCUUAAUCUCUUUGCAACAGAGGACAGGGUCAUGCCAUUGCCUACCCCUCAACCUCGCCGAUGCACAGAAGAAAGGCGUUGCUACUACUCAUUCUUCCCACGUCGAUGAAGAACGAGUCGCCAGUGAUUGGGUUUUUAGUUCACAGGUCUUUGGGUUUUCUUUUUCAAUUUUUUUUCUAAAUAUCUAACAUCUGGUUGUGAUGGAAGAUUUUGUUAACAUCUCGCUGAGAAGGUUAAAUUAAGUUCGUGUUUUGGACUUGGUGCCUGCCAAUUUAUCUAUUUCUUAAGUGGUGGUUGCUGCUAGGGAUAUAGGUGAUGAAUCCGUUCCUAUUCGCUAGCGGCAACAUUGGAGCUAAUCAAGUUUGGGUGGUAUAAGAUGGAAGCAUUGGAAGUGUUUUUUUUUUCUCCAUUUUAGGUUCAUUCCUAAUGGUCAUACUAUCUCAACCCAUAUCACUGGCGCCUUUAGGGAGUGACAGGAUGCUACUGGUUACACAUGGAAGGAUGUCUCUCCAUCUACUCGUGACUUCUACUAGCAGGAAUUUAUGGUAAUUGUUAUUUAUUUCUAACAAAAAUAUAUAUACUUACUGUUAUUGAUAUAAUUAUUUUAAUAAUCGAAAUACUUAUUUUUUAGAAAAAAUAUCAAUGGAAUGCAACUGAUGAUAGCAUAAUUAAAGAUACUUGGGAUAAAGUGGCAUCUCUUCUAACAAUAAGAAAUUAUACACUUGGCGGAAGAAAGGAACAAAACCUAUUGGUGUUGCACAAGAUGUAUGGGAUAGCUGAUGGCACACUGGUCCACUCUAGAGUAGAUUGCUAAAUCUCGUAUCGCUGCUCAAAAUUGGCGUAGCGAGACUGGUGGUCCAGGCAUUGGUUUAAGCAAGCAUACUGGUGGUUCCAGGUCUACUGUGGAGCACAGUCUGAAAAUGGCAGAAGAACUACACCGUGAUCCUAAUUCUUAGGAGGUGUUUAAAAAGUUGCAUAAAAAAAAGGAUGGAACCUUUGUUAAUGUCAGGUCUCAGAGCAUUAAUGAUGACGAUUCACAAGAGAUCUCAAUCAAUGUCAAUCGCCUAUCCUUGGAUAUUAUGGGUGGAGAGAAGAAGCAACGCAUGUACGGUUUGGGCUCUCAUGCUUCAACUUUGUACCCAGACUCAUUCAGCAGCUCUGCCACUUCCCGCAGGACAACUACGGUGAUAGAUCAUAUUGCUGAUGAGCGCAUUAGAGUGCUUGAGGAGGAGAUCGUGCGCAUGAGGGAAAAUUAAGAGCAAAUUCUCCAGCAACGCGUUGAGGAGGAGGUAUCGCGCCUCAGGCAAUAGAUUGAAGAGCAGUUUCGCUCUAUACAAGAGGAGAUGAGGCGUAUGAUGAGGCAAAUGUCGUCAUCAUCCCGCCCUUCAUGUGAUUCUGUUGAUUCUCAUUAUCAGAGCAUGCCUAAUCUGUAGCUUGAUAUUGUUUAUAUACAUUUGCUAACUGAACUUAUUUCUUGUACGGUUGACUUUAUACUUUUAUAUAAUAUAUGGUAUUAUUAUUUACUAA